GAGACUAGCGUUGGUGUCAAUGUAAAGAUGGCCGACCGUGAGCGUCGGUUAUCUAACGGGGAGGACGAGGUUUUAGAUCCCCGCAUACAGAUUGAACUUGAGCAACUAAACAAAGCCUCUGAAGAAAUAAACGCCUUGGAACUUGAAUUAGAUCUGGUUUAGGUCAUGUGCCAAAACCAUUAAUUGGAACAGGCCUCAUUUUUAUAUAGAUUAUAUUGAUCAUUCAUCAGACUGUUUCACAUCCACUUUACCAUAUUGGCAUGGGUCAGCUGACUCUGC
rnacentral:lncRNA from 1 species